rnacentral:lncRNA from 1 species
CGGAGUGGUGAUUUAGAGAUGGAGAAUGGAUGGAAGAAUCUAGAAGAAGAAGAAGAAGAAGAGGUUGUUAUGAAACGGAUAUGGUGUGUUAGAAAUAUUGGUUUCACCAUUGUUACAGAAUAUUGGUUUUCUUGGUCUCUUUGUUAUUGUAAUUGUAAAAAUUGAAUUAGAAUUGUGUUGUUAUUGUGCUGCCAUGGAGUUUUCACUCAUUUGCUUCAUUUGAUGAAUUCAUGAAAUUUUCACCAUUUCAAUUAAAACAGUGGCGGCGGCGGCAAGGAUGAAGAAGGAAAGAAGAAGUAACAUGCGUUUUGAGUCUUUU